CGGGAUGUGGCGCAGUUGGCUAGCGCACCUGCUUUGGGAGCAGGGGGUCCCCGGUUCGAGUCCGGGUAUCCCGA
rnacentral:tRNA from 1 species